CAAGACAAACUUUAGUGGGUAAAUCAUUUACACUGAUUUUUUUUUCUGUGCGAUUCAGGAUGUCUUGA
rnacentral:tRNA from 1 species